rnacentral:rRNA from 1 species
UACGGAGGGUGCAAGCGUUGCUCGGAAUCAUUGGGCGUAAAGCGUACGCAGGCUGUUCGUUAAGUCGGGUGUGAAAGCCCGGGGCUCAACCCCGGAAAUGCGCCCGAAACUGGCGAGCUUGAGUGCCGGAGAGGGUCGCGGAAUUCCCGGUGUAGAGGUGAAAUUCGUAGAUAUCGGGAGGAACACCAGUGGCGAAGGCGGCGACCUGGACGGACACUGACGCUGAGACGCGAAAGCGUGGGGAGCAAACAGG